CCUACGGGAGGCAGCAGUGAGGAAUAUUGGUCAAUGGCCGGAAGGCUGAAGCAGCCAAGCCGCGUGAAGGACGAAGGUGCCAAGCAUUGUAAACUUCUUUUGUCAAGGGACAAAAUCAGGCUCGAGAGCCUGCCCGAGGGGACUUUAAGAACAAGCAUCGGCUAACUCCGUGCCAGCAGCCGCGGUCAUACGGAGGAUGCGAGCGUUAUCCGGAUUUAUUGGGUUUAAAGGGAGCGUAGAUGGGUGGUUAAGUCAGUUGUGAAAGUUUGCGGCUCAACCGUAAAAUUGCAAUUGAUACUGGCAGUCUUGAGUACAGUUGAGGUAGGCAGAAUUCCAGGUGUAGCGGUGAAAUGCUUAGAGAUCACGAAGAACCCCGAUUGCGAAGGCAGCUUACUAAACUGUGACUGACAUUGAUGCUCGAAAGUGUGGGUAUCAAACAGGAUUAGAUACCCUAGUAGUC
rnacentral:rRNA from 1 species